rnacentral:rRNA from 1 species
GGCGGGUCGAGACCUGCUGUGAGAGUACCUGAAGAAAAAGCAUCGGCUAACUCCGUGCCAGCAGCCGCGGUAAUACGGAGGAUGCGAGCGUUAUCCGGAUUUAUUGGGUUUAAAGGGUGCGCAGGCGGAGGCACAAGUCAGCGGUAAAAUCGCGGGGCUCAACCCCGCUCCGCCGUUGAAACUGUGUCCCUUGAGUGCGCGAAGGGUAGGCGGAAUGCGUGGUGUAGCGGUGAAAUGCAUAGAUAUCACGCAGAACUCCGAUCGCGAAGGCAGCCUACCGGCGCGCAACUGACGCUCAUGCACGAAAGCGUGGGUAUCGAACAGGAUUAGAUACCCUGGUAGUCCACGCAGUAAACG